rnacentral:rRNA from 1 species
GAUGAACGCUAGCUACAGGCUUAACACAUGCAAGUCGAGGGGAAACGGCAUCGAAAGCUUGCUUUUGAUGGGCGUCGACCGGCGCACGGGUGAGUAACGCGUAUCCAACCUGCCCAUCACUUGGGAAUAACCUUGCGAAAGUAAGACUAAUGCCCAAUGACAUCCCACGAAGGCAUUCGAAUGGGAUUAAAGAUUUAUCGGUGAUGGAUGGGGAUGCGUCUGAUUAGCUUGUUGGCGGGGUGACGGGCCACCAAGGCAACGAUCAGUAGGGGUUCUGAGAGGAAGGUCCCCAACAUUGGAACUGGGCAAAGGUCCAAACACCUACGGGCGGCAGCAGUGAGGAAUAUUGGUCAAUGGGCGAGAGCAUGAACCAGCCAAGUAGCAUGCAGGAUGACGGCCCUAUGGGUUGUAAACUGCUUUUAUAAGGGAAUAAAGUGGGUCACGUGUGACUUUUUGCAUGUACCUGAUGAAUAAGGACCGGCUAAUUCCGUG